AUUGAACGCUGGCGGCAGGCCUAACACAUGCAAGUCGAGCGGCAGCGGAAGGAAGCUUGCUUCCUUGCCGGCGAGCGGCGGACGGGUGAGUAAUGUCUGGGGAUCUGCCCGAUGGAGGGGGAUAACUACUGGAAACGGUAGCUAAUACCGCAUAACGUCGCAAGACCAAAGUGGGGGACCUUCGGGCCUCACACCAUCGGAUGAACCCAGAUGGGAUUAGCUAGUAGGCGGGGUAAAGGCCCACCUAGGCGACGAUCUCUAGCUGGUCUGAGAGGAUGACCAGCCACACUGGAACUGAGACACGGUCCAGACUCCUACGGGAGGCAGCAGUGGGGAAUAUUGCACAAUGGGGGAAACCCUGAUGCAGCCAUGCCGCGUAUUUGAAAA
rnacentral:rRNA from 1 species